GCUGGGCGUGGUGGCGCACGCCUGUAAUCCCAGUUACUCGGGAGGCUGAGGCAGGAGACUCGCUUGAACGUGGGAGGUGGAGGUUGCACUGAGCCGAGAUCAUGCCAUUACCCUCUAGCCUGGGCAACAAGAGCAAAACGCUGUCUUUAAAAAAAAAAAAAUGCCUGUUUUUCUUGUUGUUUGUUUGUUUAUUUAUUGAGAUGGAAUUUCAUUCUUGUCGCCCAGGCUGGAAUGCAGUGGCACAAUCUCGGCUCACUGCAACCUCUGCCUCCCGGGUUCAAGUGAGUCUCCUGCCUCAG
rnacentral:SRP_RNA from 1 species